rnacentral:rRNA from 1 species
UACGUAGGUGACGAGCGUUGUCCGGAUUUACUGGGCGUAAAGAGCGCGCAGGCGGUCGUUCAAGUCGAGUGUGAAAGCCCCCGGCUCAACUGGGGAGGGUCACUCGAUACUGAUCGACUCGAAGGCAGGAGAGGGUAGUGGAAUUCCCGGUGUAGUGGUGAAAUGCGUAGAUAUCGGGAGGAACAUCUGUGGCGAAGGCGACUGCCUGGACCAGCACUGACACUGAGGCACGAAAGCGUGGGGAGCAAACAGG